rnacentral:tRNA from 1 species
CGCCGGGCUCGGUGAGGGCGACGUCUUGCUGGGUUUCGGGCUCGGCGAGGGGGACUUGGACUGGACCCGGCUCUUGCUCGGUUCCGGCUCGGGCUCC